ACUAGACUUGGAUUCAUUUCCCCUUCCCAAACACAUGUGCUUUAACAUGAGGGGGAAUUUAUGAAUAGCAGAGUCAGAUUAGCCCAGAUUUUUGGCACGGCAUUGCCACAAAUAUAGCCUCACGUGGACUGUCUUUGGUAUGUUGGAUGCCGAGAUAGUGCUUUCCCGGUCCUGGGGGUUGGUUGUCAAGCUGACCAUUCUUUACCGUUUUGGCGUCUGGAUCACUGUCUGGGAUCUGGCGUACAUGGUGGCAUUAGGCAUGCCAGAGGUCAGUAGGCCCCUCACUCUCACCACAGGUUGCUGUUUCUCAUGGAGUAUUCUCAGUCCACUCAGCAUUCCAGUGUUCUCUUGGAGUGUUAGAUUGGUGCUAGGAUCUAAAUGUCUCUGGGAAGGCAUCCAUGCUACCUUCAUGACUCCUGACUCAUAUCUUCCCUCAGGACUUGUUUUUAAGCUGUGAGAUUUUUUGAGCCAUGGGUGGAGGAACUGUCUUUUUCACCUUCAUUCAUGGGGGAGAUGAAAAAAAAAAAAAAAA
rnacentral:lncRNA from 1 species